GGCAGAGUAGGGCAGUGGUCAGCACAGCCAUCUGAGCUGGAUGGCCUGAGUUCAAAUCCCAGCCCUGCCU
rfam:Camelus ferus unplaced genomic scaffold scaffold701, whole genome shotgun sequence.